rnacentral:lncRNA from 1 species
AAAGUCUCAGAAGUGCCUAAGUCUUCCCCACAAAGGACAGAGGGAACUGAGAGACAAAAACCAGAAGCCGAGAAGCCACCUCUCAUGCCCAGACGCCACAGGAAGAAGAGCCAGCAGCUCUCCUCAGGCCUGUCUGACUUCAGUCACAGAGAGCCUGUGACAGCAAACUGGUCCCAGUUCCAGACAAGCAGGCUUCCACGAGGGACCAGGAAAGCACUGUCGAGGCCACUUCCCUGGUGCCUCCACUAGUCAUAUAAAUGCCAACGGGCACCAGGGCUGUAGGCAAUGGGGUCUGCCAGUGCUGGCAGCAAUGGCUGUGUUGGUGGCCUCAAGUCACAGGAGGGAGCCAGCCACCAUUUUGUGAGCAUAAGGCUGAACUGGACACUAAAUGGCUGCAGUCCUCCUGUCCUUUUGGUGUGAACCUUAGCCUUUAAUGGCUGAACCAUCUCUUUAGACUGCAGCUGCUGUCUUCCAUAGCUCCUUUGUAGCAGGAGUUGAAGUGUCUUUGCUCAAUCCCAUGUCUGACUUGGCCUUGUGACUUAACCUCCCUGAAUAUGUAAGCAUGUCUCAGUUCCAAGCCCGGGGUUCAAGAAGUCUUGUAGCUAGCUUUUGCACUUACAUCUUUGGCAAUGGAAAGAAGCCUGAGAGAGACCCAGGCUGUUGAAUGGGGCACAUGUGAUCCAGUCACGGUUUCACCUUAGGUGACAGCCAAGCACCAGCCGUGUCCUGCCAGUUCACCACGUGACACAUCAGCAAGCUGUAGCAGAGGCAGGCUGGAAGGCUCACCAGCUGGCCCGCAGACUCUGGAGCAAAUAAAUGUUUAUUGUUUGAAGCUACA